UACAGAAGCCCGAACAGAUUUUGCAGUGGCUUAUUAUAUUUUUCAAGGAACAUGCGGUGAGAUUCCGCCACAGACUUUAUCCCUACUGUAAUCAGGACGAAAGCGUCAGAUCCAUUGAGAACGAGAGGUUCUUGAGAAGGGACGUGAGUAGGUUGGAACUGCGAGACAGGAUACAGGUAUCUGGAGAUCAUAAAAG
rnacentral:ncRNA from 2 species